GAUGAAGAACGUAGCGAAAUGCGAUAAGUAGUGUGAAUUGCAGAAUUCAGUGAAUCAUCGAAUCUUUGAACGCACAUUGCGCCCUUUGGUAUUCCUUAGGGCAUGCCUGUUCGAGCGUCAUUAUAACCCCUCAAGCUCAGCUUGGUGUUGGGGCCUGCUGCACUGGCAGCCCUUAAAAUCAGUGGCGGCGCCAUCUGGCUCUAAGCGUAGUAAUUCUUCUCGCUAUGGAGUCCUGGUGGAUGCUUGCCAUCAACCCCCAAUUUUUCUAUGGUUGACCUCGGAUCAGGUAGGGAUACCCGCUGAACUUAAGCAUAUCAAUAAGCGGGGA
rnacentral:misc_RNA from 1 species